CCCGCUAUGGUGAAAUCGGU
rnacentral:tRNA from 2 species